rnacentral:tRNA from 1 species
UCCCUGGUGGCUCAGCUGGUAAAGAAUCCACAUGCAAUGCGGGAGACCUGGGUUCGAUCCCUGGCUUGGGAA